rnacentral:lncRNA from 1 species
AGGCUCUGCAACUAAAUUCCUUUGUUCACAAUUGGGACCUGUUAUCGUUUUCUCUAGUUUUAUUUCUUAGUUGUUGGAUUAACAAAUGAAAGUUGGAACUUUUCUUCUUUUACCUACUAUCUAUAUUUUCCGCUGGUGAGGUUCCAGAUACCUAUCCUUGUAUUCUUUGCAGCAUAAAUUACAAUGCAUAAUGUUGUACUUUCUGUGACAUGACUUGUAUUUUCUGUUGCUCUCAUAUUAUUCUUCAAACUUUGGGUCAAGUGCACCCCUUAAGGCAGCCUGCUUUCCAUUUUCGAAAUUAGAUUAGUGGCCCAGUAGUUAUGGGUGCGAAGUGCUUGCCUGCUGAAAACUUCACUAUAGAUAUCUCUGUUAUAUCAUAAAUGUCAAUAACUUGAUGGAUAUACAUUUUAGCUUACUGGUUGGUUAGACUGAAUAUGCUGUAGUUUGUGUUACAAGAAAAUGCCCUAUUCGACUCAACAAAGACAGAAAACUCUCAGACACAAAGGCAUCAAGAUUUCAUCGAUUAGAGCUCAGAUCUUAGCAUUGUACCCGUCUGUACAACGUGAAACUCAUAAACCACAGUUCCAAACCACAAAACACAGAGGCGGUCACUUCAACGAACUAAGAACACUCAAGACCAAACUGGAAACUCUCAACAAAGCUCAACCGAACAGUUACACAGACUGUAGGAACACACAGAGGCCACAAACCAGUAGUUUUAAUGGCGUAAUCUCAAGAUUCACAGAGAAGGAGAAGAAGCAAAAGACACACAGUCAUGAAGAGAGAGAUCC